rnacentral:rRNA from 1 species
UACAGAGGUCUCAAGCGUUGUUCGGAUUCAUUGGGCGUAAAGGGUGCGUAGGCGGCGCGGUAAGUCGGGUGUGAAAUCUCGGAGCUUAACUCCGAAACUGCAUUCGAUACUGCCGUGCUUGAGGACUGGAGAGGAGACUGGAAUUUACGGUGUAGCGGUGAAAUGCGUAGAUAUCGGAAGGAACGCCGGUGGCGAAAGCGAUCGACUGGACCUCUUCUGAC